rnacentral:rRNA from 1 species
UACGGAGGAGGCAAGCGUUAUCCGGAAUUAUUGGGCGUAAAGCGUCCGUAGGUGGUUUGCCAAGUCUGCUGUCAAAGGAUGAGGCUCAACCUCAUAAGGGCAGUGGAAAUUGGUGAGCUAGAGUGCGGUAGGGGUAGGGGGAAUUCCUGGUGUAGCGGUGAAAUGCGUAGAUAUCAGGAAGAACACCGGUGGCGAAAGCGCCCUACUGGGCCUGCAUUGACCCUGAGGGACGAAAGCUAGGGGAGCGAAAGGG